UGGUUUGCUGUCAGUUGCGUAUUGCUCACGGGGAUCUUGGUGGCUAACAGAGGAUUCUUGAUGUGAAUGAUUGAACGCUGGCAGGAUGCUUUACGCAUGCAAGUCGAACGGCAGCACGGACACGGUCUGAUGGCAGUGGCGAACAGCGGGAUGAUAUGUAUCGGAACGUAUCGGCGGGGAUGGCGCGGCGUAGCUAAUACCGCAUACGCCCUUCGGGGAAAGCGGGGACCUUCGGGCCUCGCACUAUUAGAGCAGCCGAUAUCGGAUUAGCUAAUUGUGGUGGGGUAGUAACGGCUCACCAAGGCGACGAUCCGUAGCUGGUUUGAGAGGACGACCAGCCACACUGGGACUGAGACACGGCCCAGACUCCUACGGGAGGCAGCAGUGGGGAAUUUUGGACAAUGGGGAAACCCUGGAUCCGACCAUCCGGGAUAUGCGAUGAAGCCUUCAGGUUGUAAAAGCACUUUUGGCAGGAAAGAAACAGCUGGGACGGCAAUACCCCGUGCAACUGACAGUACCACCAGAAUAAGCCGCCGGCCCCAACUACGUUCAGCAGCGGGAAUCAAACAAGUGCAAAGCGUAUGAUCAGGAUUGUGGGCGUAAGACAGUGGAGCGGUUCGAAGAAGAUGUGAGAUGGAACGCCGUUGGAACUGCAUUUUUAACUACCGAGCUAGAGUGUCAGAGGGAGGUGGAAUUCCGCGUGCUGGUGGUGAAUGCGGGCGGAUCGACGUGAGGAACACCGAUGGCGAAGGCGGGCGUGUCGAGAUGAACGGACGCUCAUGGCGUGAACGUGGGGGACGGCAGAGUUAGAUACCUGGCGGUAGUGCGUUGCUCGAACGUGUCAGGCGUGUUUCAUUCGGGCCUUGGUAGCGCAGCUAACGCGUGAAGUUGACCGCCUGGGAGUACGGUCGCAAGAUUAAAACUCAAAGGAAUUGACGGGGACCCGCACAAGCGGUGGAUGAUGUGGAUUAAUUCGAUGGAACGCGAAAAACCUUACCUACCCUUGACAUGUCUGGAAUCCCGAAGAGAUUUGGGAGUGCUCGCAAGAGAACCGGAACACAGGUGCUGGUAGGCUGUCGUCAGCUCGUGUCGUGAGAUGUCGGGUUAAGUCCACAACGAGCGCAACCCUUGUCAUUAGUUGCUGAAAAGGGCACUCGAUGAUGCCGGUGACAAACCGGAGGAAGGUGGGGAUGACGUCAAGUCCUGUGGGCCCUUAUGGGUAGGGCUUCACACGUCAUACAAUGAAUAAAGGACAGAGGGUCGACGCCAACCCGCGAGGGGGAGCCAAUCCCGAAGCCCGAUCGUAGUCUCCGGAUCACCAGUCGUACAACUCGACUGCGUGAAGUCGGAAUCGCGCGAUAAUGCGCGGAUCAGCAUGUCGCGGUGAAUACGUUCCCGGGUCUUGUCCCAACCCGUCACACCAUGGGAUGGAGUUUGCAUUACCAGAAGUAGUUAGCCUAACCAAGGAGGGCGAUUACGGUAGGAUUCAUGACUGGGGGUGAAGUCGUAACAAGGUAACAG
rnacentral:rRNA from 1 species